rnacentral:rRNA from 1 species
CAAUAAGCGGAAAAGAAAAUAACCAUGAUUCCCUUAGUAACGGCGAGUGAACAGGGAAAAGCCCAAAUUUGUAAUCUGGCACUUUUUACAAGUGUCCGAGUUGUAAUUUGUAGAACUGUUAUCCGUGCUGGACCAUGUACAAGUCUGUUGAAAAGCAGCAUCAUUGAAGGUGAAAAUCCUGUAGAUGAUAUGGACUACCAGUGCAUUUGUGAUACGGUUUCUAAGAGUCGAGUUGUUUGGGAAUGCAGCUCAAAGUGGGUGGUAAAUUCCAUCUAAGGCUAAAUAUAAGUGAGAGACCGAUAGCAAACAAGUACCGUGAGGGAAAGAUGAAAAGAACUUUGAAAAUAGAGUUAACAGUACGUGAAAUUGCUGAAAGGGAAACGUUUGAAGUUAGUUUUGUAUUCGUUGGAUCAGCUUCGCAAGGAGUGUAUUCUGAUGAUAAGCAAGUCAACAUCAAUCUAUGAGUGUCGGAGAAGGGUUUUGAGAAUGUAGCAAUUUUUAUUAAUUGUGUUAUAGCUUGAGACUUGGAUACGAUGCUUUGGAUUGAGGAACGCGUAGUAAGCUUUGAGCGGAUCGAAAGGAUCUCCUACUAUGGAGUAG